rnacentral:rRNA from 1 species
CACUCCUGCGGGAGGCAGCAGUGGGGAAUUUUGGACAAUGGGCGAAAGCCUGAUCCAGCAAUGCCGCGUGAGUGAAGAAGGCCUUCGGGUUGUAAAGCUCUUUUGUCAGGGAAGAAACGGUGAAAGCUAAUAUCUUUUGCUAAUGACGGUACCUGAAGAAUAAGCACCGGCUAACUACGUGCCAGCAGCCGCGGUAAUACGUAGGGUGCAAGCGUUAAUCGGAAUUACUGGGCGUAAAGCGUGCGCAGGCGGUUUUGUAAGUCUGAUGUGAAAUCCCCGGGCUCAACCUGGGAAUUGCAUUGGAGACUGCAAGGCUAGAAUCUGGCAGAGGGGAGUAGAAUUCCACGUGUAGCAGUGAAAUGCGUAGAUAUGUGGAGGAACACCGAUGGCGAAGGCAGCCCCCUGGGUCAAGAUUGACGCUCAUGCACGAAAGCGUGGGGAGCAAACAGGAUUAGAUACCCCAGUAGUCCCAUGAU